rnacentral:tRNA from 1 species
GCCAGCGUAGCUCAGAGGUAGAGCAGCGGUUUCGUAAACCGCCGAUCAUCGGUUCGAAUCCGAUCGCUGGCU